CGCUCCGCUGGCGUCCGCCUCCCGGGCAGACGGCGGCGGCGCGGCGGGGCGCGAUGGCGGCCGGGCUGGGGCCGUGGCUGCUGGCCUUGGCCUUGGGGCCGGCGGGAGUGUGCACACAGUACCAGCUGGUAGAGUCUGGUGGAGAUGUGCGAGCAUCUGGGGACUCUGUGUCCCUGUUCUGCCAGGCAUCUGGAUUCAGCUUCAGCGUCUAUGACAUACGCUGGUACCGUCAGACCCCCAGAGGCAUUCCUGAGUGGGUGUCCUUCAUCGGCAGCCAGGCUGGCACUACAAAGAAAUAUGGGACAGCUGUGGAAGGUCGAGCCACCGUCUCCCGGAACAACUCCCAAGCCAUGGCAUCUCUCUCCCUUCACCGCUUGCAUCCAGGGGACUCAGCCCGCUACUUCUGCAGCAUUGCACUGUGACAGGAAAUCCAGCUGAUGGUUAACAAAAAACCCUACCAGGAAGACAUGGACUGGAGUGCGUCUGUAGGGCUACUGAGAGCUGUGGCAGCUUUGGGCUGCUUCCACGAGGUGAGGAGACAUCACCGCACACCGCAGACAGCCCUGUCCUUUCUGCAACAGUUCUCUUCCUUUUACCACUCAUCCUGACUGACUCUCAAAAGCAGUAUUUUGAGCUGAGGAAGAUGCUCAGUGUAUUUCUUGUCACCAAAUCAGCUUGGCCACUCUUCCUGCCUGCAGACCCUCUCUGCCUGCCCUUUGUCCCCUUCUUCCCUUUGACUCAGGCUUCAGAAGCAGCAUUGCCUGUUUGCAUUGACACUCCCACCACCAAUCCAGCCCUCAGCCGUUUCCAGGAGCACAAAAAAGAAACAGCAAUGGAUGAACAGCCCAGCUGUGGCUUGAUGUGCAUUUCAGGUUAAUGGGAUCCAAGCAGCAAGGCCUGCAGUGUGAGAGCAAGCAAGGCACACAUAGACCCUGUAAUGUACUUACAGCUCCAAUGCUUCCUAUAUUUAUUUAUGUGGCCUGGUACCAGAAACAUCUCAGCAGGCCUCUCCAGAC